GACGAACCGUGCGAACGUUGUUCGGAAUCACUGGGCUUAAAGGGCUCGUAGGCGGGCCAUCAAGUCCGGGGUGAAAUCUUUCGGCUCAACCGGAAAAGUGCCUUGGAUACUGGUGGUCUUGAGUGAGGUAGGGGCAUGUGGAACUUCCGGUGGAGCGGUGAAAUGCGUAGAUAUCGGAAGGAACGCCGGUGGCGAAAGCGACGUGCUGGACCUUUUCUGACGCUGAGGCGCGAAAGCCAGGGGAGCAAACGGG
rnacentral:rRNA from 1 species